CUUUCUCUCAUAACAAAAGUUCUGUGUCGCGGACACUCCCUGCCCACCCAUCGCGGUAGUUUUAUGGUCGAGUGUCCGUGGCGUUUUCGACUGAAUCUGCGGAGCCAUUAACAAGCACCCCCAUUAAUGUCUACUUUCGCUGUCGACAGAACUGAGAGCAACCCUCCGAAUCCUUUGCCUCGCGGCCAGCCCUCUCUGAGCUCGGUUCUUGGGACGAGGCCCUUGAGAUCCUGGCGACCUCGGGUCUUCGAACGGGGACUUUGUCAGCUCGGUGGGCUGAGGUAGUAGGGGAGACGUCUUAUUCCCAAGCUUGGUGUAUUGAGCCUCGUCGAGGCAUGAUCAUUGGGCAAAACCAAGACUAUUGUCUACAUUC
rnacentral:sRNA from 1 species